CUGAGCAGUGAUCUUGUACAGCACAGUAAGGCAUGCAACAUGUAUGUUUUUUAAUUCAUAGGCCAUUGGCUGUCCUAACAAUUAGGGGGAGCAGUGAGUUGUGACAAGAAUGAGAGUUGUAUAUCCCUCUGCAAAGAGGCAACUUUGGGAGUUUCUGUUGGGGUUACCUCUUCACCCUACUUUCCUGCCUGUGCCUUGGAGGAGUGUGUGGUUGUCUUGUACAGGUAAAUGACUUCACCCUCCUUUCUGUGCAGACUUCUGCUGGAUGUGUCUAGGAGACUGGAAGACGCAUGGUAGUGAGUACUAUGAAUGUAGUCGGUACAAGGAGAAUCCUGACAUUGUCAACCAGAGCCAGCAAGCACAGGCCAGGGAGGCCCUCAAGAAGUACUUGUUCUACUUUGAGAGGGUAGGUGUCUUGUCUUACAUCAGCCCUUUCAGAGUUGGCUUUCUCCACUUGGCCUGUUGACGACGUGAGAGCACUGGGAUGCUGUGUGCAUAUGUGGAAGUUAGUGACUGGAGCUUCUGCACGUGCUUGGUAUUGCCUUCUACAGAUGUGGGUUUUCAGUUGUGCAGGAUGCUGGGGAAGGACCUGGUACCCCCUUAGUUGAGUGAUGUCCAGGACCCGUGUGCUCCAUAAGAAGACAGAGCAAUCCGAGGACAUGGCCUACUAGCCAGUGUUUGUUUUAAACUUAUCUGCUGACCUCUGUACCUUCCUGGAACUCUACCCUUUUCCUUCUUCCUC
rnacentral:lncRNA from 1 species